rnacentral:lncRNA from 1 species
GACUGUUUACAAGGUAUCUUUUUUUUUUAGAGCACAUUUCAUCAAGAUGGAAUUUUUAAGAAGGUUUUCUGUGAAUUGACCGCUGUAAUGGGAAGCAAGCACUUCGUACAGAGCCUCAAAUUUAUCAGUGGUUUUAAAGACAAUGCAAAUAGAAACAUCCUCCAUAGAAAAGCUGAGAAAUACAAGUAUGUUCCUAAGUUUUUACUUUUAUUAACUAGAAAGUUAAAUUAAGGAUAUUGUAUCUGACCAUAUCACAUGGUGACCAGACAAUUCUGAUUGCUGACAUUCUCUUUCUGCCUCAGACUACUUUUUCUUAUUUACCUGUAUCUGCUGUUUGAUCAGUCCUAUACAGGUAAGAUGCGCUGAUGGUAGGACAUGGGCAAGGCCUUGGAAUUCCCAGCAGAAGUCACCUUGAAGACCGGGAUUGUCAGUCCAAUGCAGAGAAAUAUGGAAUAAAGCACAUCUGACAUACUUGACA